GUCCUCCCCUCAGACUCAUCGUGUUCACAAGAGCCCACGUUUCCAUAGGAGGGAAAUGGAGAAUGCGUUCCUUCAUUCACUUCUUGAGUCAACACUAGGUACUGACUUCCUUCCACGUGUCAGGUUAGAAUACAGGCCAGCAAGACAGACCCAACCAGACUUGCGAACAAUCUCUGUGGGUUUCUAGCUCCAACAUAUCUCUUUGCCCCCCAAACUCUUCUCCCCUCAAAAUUGCAGCAGUUCUCAGCAGGGGAGGAUUUUGUCUCCCAAGAGACAUUUGGAAAUUUCUGAAGGCAUCUUCAGUUGUCACAGUUUAGGGGGAGUGUUACUGGCAUCUAGUAGGGGGAGGCCAGGGAUGCUACUAAACAUCCCUCAAUGCACAGGACGGCCGCCACAACAAAGAAUUAGGGGGCCCAAAUGUCCAUAAUUUUUGCUGAGAUUGACAA